GGGAGGGGAGGUAAUGAUCGGAGUGAGUACCUAGCUGAGAUCGGGGUAGGGGAGGUAAUGAUCGGAGUGAGUUCCUAGCUGGGAUCCGGUAGGGGAGGUAAUGAUCGGAGUGAGUUCCUAGCUGGGAUCCGGUAGGGGAGGUAAUGAUCGGAGUGAGUACCUAGCUGGGAUCGGGGUAGGGGAGGUAAUAAUCGGAUUGAGUACCUAGCUGGGAUCGGGGAGGGGAGGUAAUGAUCGGAGUGAGUACCUAGCUGGGAUCGGGGAGGGGAGGUAAUGAUCGGAGGGAGUACCUAGCUGGGAUCGGGGAGGGGAGGUAAUGAUCGGAGUGAGUACCUUGCUGGGAUCGGGGUAGGGGAGGUAAUGAUCGGAGUGAGUACCUAGCUGAGAUCGGGGUAGGGGAGGUAAUGAUCGGGGUGAGUUCCUAGCUGGGAUCCGGUAGGGGAGGUAAUGAUCGGAGUGAGUACCUAGCUGGGAUCGGGGUAGGGGAGGUAAUGAUCGGAGUGAGUACCUAGCUGGGAUCGGGGUAGGGGAGGUAAUGAUCAGAGUGAGUACCUAGCUGGGAUCGGGGUAGGGGAGGUAAUGAUCGGAGUGAGUACCUAGCUGGGAUCGGGGAGGGGAGGUAAUGAUCGGAGUGAGUACCUAGCUGGGAUCGGGGAGGGGAGGUAAUGAUCGGAGUGAGUACCUAGCUGGGAUCGGGGUAGGGGAGGUAAUGAUCGGAGUGAGUACCUAGCUGGGAUCGGGGUAGGGGAGGUAAUGAUCGGAGUGAGUACCUCGCUGGGAUCAGGGUAGGGGAGGUAAUGAUUGGAGUGAGUACCUAGCUGGGAUCGGGGAUGAGAGGUAAUGAUCGGAGUGAGUACCUAGCUGGGAUCGGGGUAGGGGAGGUAAUGAUCGGAGUGAGUACCUAGCUGGGAUCGGGGAUGAGAGGUAAUGAUCGGAGUGAGUACCUAGCUGGGAUCGGGGUAGGGGAGGUAAUGAUCGGAGUGAGUACCUCACUGGGAUCAGGGUAGGGGAGGUAACGAUUGGAGUGAGUACCUAGCUGGGAUCGGGGAUGAGAGGUAAUGAUCGGAGUGAGUACCUAGCUGGGAUCGGGGUAGGGGAGGUAAUGAUCGGAGUGAGUACCUAGCUGGGAUCGGGGAGGGGUGGUAAUGAUCGGAGUGAGUACCUAGCUGGGAUCGGGGUAGGGGAGGUAAUGAUCAGAGUGAGUACCUAGCUGGGAUCGGGGUAGGGGAGGUAAUGAUCGGAGUGAGUACCUCGCUGGGAUCAGGGUAGUCGGAGGUAAUGAUUGGAGUGAGUACCUAGCUGGGAUCGGGGAGGGGAGGUAAUGAUCGGAGUGAGUACCUAGCUGGGAUCGGGGAGGGGAGGUAAUGAUAGGAGUGAGUACCUAGCUGGGAUCGGGGAGGGGAGGUAAUGAUCGGAGUGAGUACCUAGCUGGGAUCGGGGAGGGGAGGUAAUGAUCGGAGUGAGUAGCUAGCUGGGAUCGGGGAGGGGAGCUGGAGGUGUCAGGGCAUUGGAGAUGUGGUUACCGCGGCUUAGGAGGGGCGGAGUGCGAUUUUGUCGAGAUUUGGGCUCAGGACGGUCGGUAGGGAGUGUACCGAGCGAGGGUUCAGGAUCGAUCGGAGAGGGGGAGGGUUCGGUGCAGGGUCACUAGCGAUUGUGGAGUGGGAGGGGCCGAUAGAGGGACCUAGGAGGUAUCGGGGAUGGCUGGGAAUCUGUGUUUGGCCUGGGAGCGACCUGGGGCGGGGGCUAUAGUGAUGGGGGGGGGGAGAAUCCAGGAAGGAUCAGGGAGGGUGAGGAAUCAAUGAAGUGACUCAAGGGGUGUCGGAGCAGGGAACCCAGGCGAUCCGUGGUGCGGAAGGGAAAGAGUGAGAAGGCGGGAGCGGUAGUGCCUGGGGACUGAACAGUCAUGGCAAUAGACAGGAGUUUGUCUGGACACCCGAAUGGUAUGUUGGCUCCGUGGUGCCAGGGUCAGGGACCGUCCACCGUAUUUUGGAGAGGUGCGUAGAGCCGCCAAAUGUCUUGGUACAAUAUUGGUACCAAUGACAUACGAAGGAAAAGCAAAAGACGAUCGGAAUAGAGAAUUUAGAGAGCAAGGCAGGAAGCUGAGAAGCAGGACGUCCCGGGUAGUGAUUUCUGAAUCGCUGCCUGGGCCACACACCUGUGAGAAUAGAAGCAGGAUGAUUUCAAAGGUUUCAGAGGCACAUUGAACGUCAGAGGAGUUUAUACAAUAUACAUCCUGAAAUUCUUUUUCUUCACAACCAUCCACGAACGGACCGUGAGACAAUAGGGUAUAGAAGCAGAAGUAUGCCAUUCGGCCCAUCGAGUCUGCUUCGCCAUUCAAUCGUGGACUGAUCCAAUUCUUCCAGUCAUCUCCACUCCUCUGAUUUCACCCCUACCCUUUGAUGCCCCGGCUAAUCAAGAACCUAUCCAUCUCUGCCUUAAAUACACCCAAUGACUUGACCUCCACAGCUGCUCGUGACAACAAAUUCCACAGAUUUACCACCCUCUGACCAAAGUAAUUUCUCCACAUCUCAGUUCUAAAUAGACGUCCUUGAAGUCGUGCCCUCUUGUCCUAGAAUUCCCUACCAUGGGAAAUAAUUGAGAUCCCCCCUCAUUCUCCUGAACUCCAGGGAACACAGCCCAAGAGCUGCCAGAUGUUCCUCAUACAGUAACCCUUUCAUUUCUGCAGCCCUUCUCAUGAAUCUUCUCUGAACCCUCUCCAAAAACAGAGGGGCGCUCGAAGAAUGAAUGGCAGCUAAAUGCUAGUACGCCUCCCUCCCGUGCAUAAGCGGCAGUGACCACAAUUCCCCCCUCCUCCCACCGACAAAAAAAAGCAUCGACACCCAUCACCAAGCACUCGAGAAUGCAGCAAAGACACAGACUUGCAGGACUGCAAAGGCUUCUUUGUUCACCAAGCAUUCGCCACACCGCCGGCUCUCUCUCCCUAAUCAGAGAGCAUAGAAAAUCUACAGCCCUUUGGCCCACUAUACUGUUCUGUCCUUACUUUAGAAAUUACCGGUACAUUGGGUUACCCAUGGCCGUCUAUCUUCCCAAGCUCCAUGUACCUAUCCAGGUGUCUCUCAAAAGACCCUAUCGUAUCGUCCUCCACAACUGUUGCCGGCAGCCCAUUCCACACACUCACCACUCUCUGUGUAAAAAACUUACCCCUGAUAUCUCCUCAGUACCUUCUCCCCAGCACCUUCAACCUGUGUCCUCUUGUGGCAACCAUUUCAGCCCUGGGAAAAAGCCUCUGACUAUCCACAUGAUCAAUGCCUCUCAUCAUCUUAUACACCUCUAUCAGGUCAUCUCUCAUCCUCUAUCACUCCAAGGAGAAAAGCUGAGUUCACUCAAAUUAUUCUUGUAAAGCAUGCUCCUCAAUCCAGGCAACAUAAUUGUAAAUCUCCUCUGCACCCUUUCUAUGGUUUCCACAUCCUUCCUGGAUGAGGCGACCAGAACUGAGCACAGUACUUCAAGUGGGGUCUGACCAGGAUCCUAUAUAGUUGCAACUUUACCUCUUGGCUCUCGAAAUCAAACCCGCAGUUGAUGAAGGCCAAUGUACAGUAUGACUUCUUAACCACAGAGUCAACCUGCACAGCAGCUUUGAGCGUCCUAUAGACUCCCUCUGAUCCCUCUGAUCCUCCACACUGCUGGGAGUCUUACCAUUAAUACUAUAUUCUGCCAUCAUAUUUGACCUAUCAAAAUGAACCACCGCUCACUUACCUGGGUUGAACUCCAUCUGCCACUUCUCAGCCCAGUUUUGCGUCCUAUCGAUGUCCUGCUGUAAUCUCUGACAGCCCUCCACACUAUCCACAACACCCCCAACCUUUGUGUCAUUAGCAGAUUUACUAACCCAUCCCUCCACUUGCAUUUCUAAAAAUUACAAAUAGUAGGGGUCACAGAACAGAUCCCUGAGGCACACCACUGGUCACCGACCUCCAUGCAGAAUAUGACUCGUCUACAACCACUCUUUGCCUUCAGUGGGCAAGCCAAUUCUGGAGCCACAAAUUAAGAUCCCCUUGGAUCCCAUGCCUCCUUACUUUCUCAAUAAGCCUUGCAUGGGGUACCUCAUCAAAUUCCUUGCUGAAAUCCAUAUACACUACAUCAAUGGCUCUGCCUUCAUCAAUGUGUUUAGUCACAUCCUCAAAAAAAAAACAGCCUCUUCUAGCUGCAGUUCCAGUUCCUUAAUACGUUCUCUCAGGAGCUGCAACUCAGUGCUUCUGGUAUAGAUGUGUUUAUAUGGGGGACCGGGUACAUCCCAGAUGUCCCACAUCCCACGCAAAGUAUACAACACUGGCCCUGGAGCCAUUCUCACUAAUUUACAAGGCACUAACUGAUGAGGAAUGAACAAAUAUGGACAGAGAGGGAGUAACGUACGGACAAGGUACCUGACCCAAACCUGAUCUCACACUCGAAAUGAACGAAUGCUGCAGCUGCAGAUGCGCUGUUUUUAUCGACCCUUUCUGAUAAAUCCCCCUGGCUGCUUGCUGCUUCCUGAAUUCAGAAAAACUGCCACAAAACUGCCCUCAACAUCACUGUCGCUGCUCUGAUUAGAAGGUAUCUCUUUUCAUGCACACCAGGUGUGGUUUGUCCAACUCAGAGAAAUCAGGCUGAAACAUCAAACACGAAUAAAAGGUGAUAUCCACGGAUUUGCUGAUCCAGUUAACCAGGUAGCUGGUAGGAUUUGGAGGCAUUAGCAAUGGAUCUCUAAAGAAAUAGUAAAGAAUCUCUUAUUAAAGAGGGAGGUGGAAAAGGGGGAUUAUAGGCCGUAAGCCUAAUCUCAGAGGUUGGGAUGAUGUUGGAGAUGAUUGUCCUUUAUCUGGUUUUGGGGUAUUUGGAGGCAGAUGACAAAGUAGUCCAAAUUGAACAUAAUUUUCUUAAGGAAGACAAAUCUGACAAAUCUGUUAAGAGUUCUUUGAAACAAUAAGAAGAAUAAACAAAGGAGAUGUUCAAAGUGGAUGUUGCGUACAUGGAUUUUCUGGCCUUUGACAAUAUGCCAGACGAGAGUGCUGAACUAGUUAAAAGCCCAUGGAAUUAUAGGUAUAGAGCUGUGGCUGAUUGGCUUGAGGAAAGGAUUGGGAAUAAAAGAAACCUUUUCGGAUUGGCUGCCAGCGAACAGUGGUGUUCCACAGGGAUCUGUGUUGGGAAUGCAUCUUUCUAAUGUUAUACAUCGACGAUUUAGAUGAUGGAAUCGAUAGAUCCUUGCAUGGGGUAUCUUAUCAAAUGCUGUGCAAGGUAGAUGAAUAUGUGAAUUCUCUGCUGUGGAAGUCAGGUCGCAGUGGUGUGCAUUUAAGUUGGAGGUUGAUAGGUUCUUGAUCAAUGAGGGUGUGAAAGGUUAUGAGGAGAAGGUAGGGGAAUGGGGUUGUAAAGGAAAUGGAUCAUCCAUGAUAUAAUGGCAGAGCACACUUGAUGGGCUGAAUUGCCCAAUUUUGCACCUAUGUCUUGUGGUUAUUCUGUUGUUACUGGUAUGGGGGAAGACGAGCAUAUUUUAUGUCAAUAGUUAUGAACGUUCUCACUGCCAGUACGUUUUCAGUUGAUAACCAUUUUCAACGCCAAUUCUGGUAUUUGGAUGUCUUUAGUUGUGUGAGUGUGUUCUUUUUUCUCACAGAUCCAGCUUGCUUCGUGAUUGUGUGACACCCUGUUUGACCAGAUAUUAGACCAUAAGUUCAUUAUCUCUGUACAUGUUGUUAACUGUGUGCCGGGGAAGAGGGUGGGGUGGAUGUCCAUUUUGCUGAGUCGAAUUUAGUUUCAAUGUCCUGUAUAAAACUUUCUCUUUGUUUCUGAACUGAUAAUUCUGUGCGUUGGUCAGGCACAGUUCAUGCAUCUAUCCGGUUUUGCUUUGUGUGUGUAACAUACUGUAGGUUUCACUGCUAAUAUAAUGGCUUCUCUGUAGCAGCAAUGUUAGGGUUCUGACUAGAGAUAACUGGGGCUAUGGAAUGUGUGCCAUCCAAUGAGAGACCUGUUGUUUCUUUCUUGUGAGUCUGAGAGGAGGUAUUCGUGGUCUUUUGUCGAUGAGAGAUGAAGAGAGAUUUGAAUGGAGAGACCGCCAGAUGGAGUGGACUUGGAGUGAGGGUCCGAGUGUCGGUGAUGCUUGGAGGAGGUCAACGGGGAAUGAUUGGACUAAACCGUGAGCUCCAACGUGUGUAUUAGACUGUUUCAUGAGAAUGGGCCCUUUUCAUUUUUGUGUUUCUUUACUAACCACAUCGUCAAAUUAAGAAUUAAAGAGCUCAGUCAUUUGAUCGCA